CUUCACUGUUCCAGAGGAAUCUGGAGAACUGAGAACAUUGAUCUGAAGCUGUAUCCUGAAAUGCUGAGACCAUUGGUGAGCUGUAGGAGGCCUUCAGCAAUCACCAGCUUUACUCCAAAAGGAAAAGAUAGAAUUUCCUGGAUGAGCAAACUGGGAGAAGGAUCAGAAGAGAGAUCCCACGAAGGUUCCUUAAUGCUGCUUGGAGGCUGA
rnacentral:lncRNA from 1 species